UACUUCUUCUCUUAAUGAUGUGCUUAAGAGGUAAAUAAAAUCAGCUGAUCGUAGCAGGUCUUCGUGUAUGUGGUAAAUACAACUUCAAAUAUGAGCAUAUCACAUUUUUCAUCGUUCCUUUAUUAUUUGAACACAAAUGAAGAACGAAUAAAAAUAAAUAAAAAAAAUAAAAAACACAUGAGCAAUACUAAGUACCCCCAUCUUUAGCAGCAAUAACUUAAGGCAAAAACACGGCCAAAGUUACGUCCUCCGGGUGCCGCCAACCAGGAAUCAAAAGUUCUGCCCGGUACACGAUGUCCCAGAAGGCAAAACUUUCUCCCGCUGGGUCCAUAUUGGUCGUUCCGUUCUGUCAAGGAGCGGUUGAUUGAGGACCCAGAUGCAGGAGAGCGAGAGGCAGGAGUUCCAAAAAACAGGAUUUAUUGAAGCAAAAACACAAAAACAAGAACCAAAAGCGCUGCUGGGCAGGAUCAAAAAGAGGCAGAACAGAAACAGGGAUCCAAAAACUAUGAGACAACAUGGAAGGAGCAAACAGUACGGAACGACAAGGAGCAGGGGAAAGACAGGACCAGAUAUACACAGGGUAACGAGACACAGGUGUGAACAAUCAGGGCAGAUGGAAGACAGACGGGGCAGAACAGAAACACAAACUGGGGGAAAUGUCAGACACUGACACAGACUUGCUAUGACCAAUUCAUUAACAACGGAUGAUUGGCAGCACUUAGACGAAACAUCAAUAAGGGGGUACUUAGUGUUACCCACAUAUUUCUAACAGGAUUCAUGUUUAUUGAGAACAAGGUGACAGAAAAUACACGUUAUUGUUCUUCUAAGGUUUUGUUUGCCUCAUCCUGAGGCCCAGUGUGGCCGGAUGAUGUUCAUUAUGAACACAAAUGUAAAGGAAUUGAUUGAGCCGUUGAUUCCAAGCUGAUUGGAUUCUAUGAAAACUAUAUUUACUUAAAUAAUAAAUAAAUAAUAAAGAAUACAGAAAUAAUAGAAGGUGAGGAAGUAAAACGGCCAUGAGUCUCUGGGUGUUCACAGCUGUGGGUGCACGUGUUCACACACACACACACACGCACGCACGCACGCACGCACGCACGCACGCACGCACACACCCACACACACACACACACACACACACACACACACAGAUCAUUUCCGUUUGUGUGUUGUGAAGUUUCAUGCCUGCCUGACUGCAGCUGCCCGUUUGUCUGUUUGUGGUAAGACGCACUGAAUAAGUGCUUAUUUGUGAGUGAGAAGCCUCGACCAAUGGCGUGCGUCGCUGGCCUAUUUAAGGGGAGGUGAUGGGGAACCCGGAAACAAAGCGCGACUCUUCGCCCCCGCCCACUGCGGGUCCCGGUCGGUUCCUGUCUCGUUCCUCAUCCACCUGUGGCUUUGGCCGGCUCGUGUCAGAAGCGGAUCUUGCAGAAAGAUUCCGUGCUUAAUUGCAACUGCACGUUCCGGCGUCCAGUUUCCUUCCAGUCUGCGCAGCGCGCAUUCUGUGAGUUUUUGGGGCUCGCUCCGAGCGUCUGUUAAUCGGGCGACUUGUGGAAUUGGGCGAGCCUCACUAAGAUUAAUUAAGACGCCUGGCAUCAUCUGGGGUUGCCGGAUUUGGUCCCGCUGCCGUUCUUGUCAACCUGAAGUUACCAAGCAGUGUCCUGGUUGGACUGACGCUGUCGCCCGUGUGAAGAGUCUGCAAGACCACCAAGCAUCAAAGCAUUUUUAUACUAAGUUUUAGCUAUUGUGCGCGUGUGAGAGAGGGUGUGCGUGCGAGUGAGUGGUUGUGAGACUAGUUGGUGUGUGUGUGUCUAGAGUGUGGUGUGGGGAUGCUCCUUUUGGGUUAAUUUGGGGUAACUUGGGUUUUGUCGCCCUUGUUACCUUGUGUAACUGAUAUAUUGUGCGUGGUCAGCAACCACAGUGGUCAAUCUUUGGUUUUGUCCCCUCCCAUUACUUUUGAGCUGUUUAUAUUGGUUUCAUAUGUUUGUGUACUUAUUUUGUUUUCCUCCUUAAACCCCUUUUUUUGUUUCUUUGCUUUUCAGGUGCUGAGCGUUUCACGGCAGGGUGGCAGCCAACCCUUUCGGUG